GGGUUUAUAUACAAGAGCUUACGAGUGGCCUUGUACUUGGAUUGCAAAUCUGAUGUGUUAGGGUUCAAUUCCCUUUAAGCUCU
rnacentral:tRNA from 1 species